AGGAUCUAUGGAUGGCUGUAGAAACCCAGAGGUCACCCCAAAGAGCCAACCCUGAGCCUCCUCAUCUAAAUUAGUUUUCCCUGGAGUUCCCGUCGUGGCGCAGUGGUUAACGAAUCUGACUAGGAACCAUGAGGUUGCGGGUUCGAUCCCUGCCCUUGCACACUCACGGCAACACCAGAACCUCAACCCACUGAAUGAAGCCAGGGAUUGAACCUGCAUCCACAUGGAUCCUAGUCGGGUUUGUUACUGCUGAGGCGCGAUGGAAACUCCAAAUCUCUUUUUUUGUUUUAAAAAGAGUCAUCCUACUCUUCUUUAGAUUUGGAGAGCCAGUAAAGAGUUUUAAAUAGAGAAUUUACACAAUCAUUUCUUCCUGGUGUCAGUAGGAGGGUGGAUUAAGGGGAGAGAUUGGAAUCAGCCCUUUUCAGCGUUGCCCAGGUAAGGAUGACCUCACCUAGGAUAGCAGCAGAACCAGUGAUUCUAAGUGCUGUUUUCCAAGCAAUAGCCUGAAAAAGCAAACACUGGGGUUGCUUCUUCUUACCAGUAUGGUGAAGGCCAAAUGUAAUAUACACAUAGAUACAUAUACAUGAAUAUUCACAUGAAUAUUUAACCUUUAACAGAUUGUUGAAGAAGCUUUGAGUUUUACUUUUUCCUUUUUUCUUACAUUUUUGUCUUUGUCUUCAUCUUUCAUUCUAUUUCUUUUUUAUUUUUUUUCCUUCAUCCUUUUCAACUUAUGACCCUUCAGUUCAAAAUUAAAUUUGGGCUGUAAGUUGACUCCUUGAAUCUUUUCUUCACAAGCUUUCUUUGUAUUUUCUAGAAGAAAAAAAAGAUUAGCCCAGGGUUUCCAAAAUAAAAGCAAAGAUUGUGAUUAAAACUGAAUUAGAAUCUUUUUUCUCUAUUAUUUGCUAAUAGUAAAAUAAAUAGCCCAGUCUUAAGGAAGAUUUAAAGUUAAGUCCUGGAGCCUUUGCGAACCCUUGGAUUUUAAUUAAAGAAACACAGAAUACCAUCACUUUCUGUUUGUCAGUGGACAAAAAUAUGUAUUUUUAAAUUUUCAAAGCUUAGCCUAGCAGCACAUGGAGUCCAUCUGUUGGCUUUCAGAAUUUGGGGAACACAAAUGGAUUCAGAUGUUUAGGCCCUUUGUCCUCACUGGGCUCAGCUCGCCUGCCAACUGAGCAUGG
rnacentral:lncRNA from 1 species